UGAGGAGGUCAGGACCCUUGGGGCCAGGAAGAGAGCUGUGUGGUGUGGGGGUCACCAGCAGCUCUCAGGGACCGCAGAUGGGCUGAGGCUGCAGACUCUGGCUUGUUCUGAGUGGGGAGGGGCACCAGGGGCUUUGAGCAAAAAAGGCUCCGGGCAGACUUGGGCGUCGAAGGCCAGCUCCGGCCACUGUGCACAGAGCGUCCUCUCAAGCAGGCGG
rnacentral:lncRNA from 1 species